rnacentral:rRNA from 1 species
UAAAGAUUCAUCGCUGAUAGAUAGGCAUGCGUUCCAUUAGGCAGUUGGCGGGGUAACGGCCCACCAAACCGACGAUGGAUAGGGGUUCUGAGAGGAAGGUCCCCCACAUUGGUACUGAGACACGGACCAAACUCCUACGGGAGGCAGCAGUGAGGAAUAUUGGUCAAUGGGCGUAAGCCUGAACCAGCCAAGUCGCGUGAGGGAUGAAGGUUCUAUGGAUCGUAAACCUCUUUUAUAAGGGAAUAAAGUGCGGGACGUGUCCCGUUUUGUAUGUACCUUAUGAAUAAGGAUCGGCUAACUCCGUGCCAGCAGCCGCGGUAAUACGGAGGAUCCGAGCGUUAUCCGGAUUUAUUGGGUUUAAAGGGUGCGUAGGCGGCCUUUUAAGUCAGCGGUGAAAGUCUGUGGCUCAACCAUAGAAUUGCCGUUGAAACUGGGAGGCUUGAGUAUGUUUGAGGCAGGCGGAAUGCGUGGUGUAGCGGUGAAAUGCUUAGAUAUCACGCAGAACCCCGAUUGCGAAGGCAGCCUGCCAAGCCAUGACUGACGCUGAUGCACGAAAGCGUGGGGAUCAAACAGGAUUAGAUACCCUGGUAGUCCACGC